UGGCGCCAUCUUGAAUCGCACGGCGCGCCACCUAUAGUUCGUGGGCAUUGCGAAUAGUUCGUGGGCAUUGCGAAUAUCGUGCUGUACAUGACAUGCGUGUCAUGAUUUGCACGUUAGGACCUGUCAGUUCUGUUCAUCAUACACUCUUGUAACGCCGUAUCAAUUUUGGUAUAUAUCAAGUUAACGAAACGGUCGUAAGAACCCUUGCGUCUAGCUGUGUUCCACUCCGUGGCUGUCUCGCUCGAUCACGAAUUCAGCGCGGGAAAUGAAGCACACGGCAGUGCCGCGCGUAGCGGUGACAUAUUAGCUGAUCACGCCGGCUUGCUUCCCUUUGCUUCAACGCAACGAAACAUCAUGCCUUGCAAGAUCACAUACUGCAUUACGUAGAAGUGUUACUGCUUUGGAGUCAUCCUGCUAUUCACUGAGGACGUACAUACAACUAAGUUUUGCUUCGGCGGCAAGCAUCGAUCGUAAAGCCGCACUACUACGUAUGUGUACAGUGUACUAGAAUGGGUAGUCCGUGGUACAAGCAGUAGAAACCUGUCGUCUGCUAGAACAAAAAGAAAAAAAAAUCUACUGAAAAAGUAUUUAACUUGUCUCGUAUAAAUUUUUCUUGAAGACAAGUCAUUAUUUUUAAACUAUUUUGCCCAAUAACAUGCAUUCUCUAACAAUGUCACACGGCGACUUUUUCUUUUUCACGAACAACAAUUCAAGCUAGAUAGAUCCAUCCAAAGCUCUGGAUCCAUGCAUAGCCGAAGCAUGUUAUUUGCCUUUGUUUUACAGUUUUGUUUGCAAGCGUCUCGCGCGUGUUUUCGUCCACAAGAAGAUUCUAGGUAAAAGUAUUAAAUUCACGUAAUGAAGCUUAGUUCUUCGUUUGUGCGGUGUGCAAAGAUUGCGCGCAAUUCUCGCUGUUCUCGGAGUGCCGAUGAAGUACGAGUCGUUCAAGGAAUCAACGAAAUCUGCGGGUGCUCGAAUGACUCCAUGGCUGACGCCCGUGGCCACCUGCUACACGCCAGCGAAAGAAACUAAAGCACUGUGGAGGCUGCAGGGCGACUUUGCAAGUAGGAAGGGCGGAAAUUCCUGAAGAUGUAUUCAUCCAUGCUGCAUCAGCUGCUUGGUGUUUUCAUGGCAUCUCUGCACACGUGUUGGGUUGAUCUCAAGCAGAAAAGCAGAAGCGGCAGUGGUCUCCAGAAGAGACCAAGGACCCCAAGCUCUCUGUGACACAAACAGGAAGGGCACUGUGAUGCGUUGAAAACCUGCGCCAGUAGUGCAUCACCAGUGCACUAUGCUGCUGUUUCAUCAAGGAGAAAGAAGGUGACCACCCCUAGAGGAACUUCAUGCUCUACAGUGUGAGUGCCUGGAUGGUUUUGUUU
rnacentral:lncRNA from 1 species